GAUGAACGCUGGCGGCGUGCCUAAUACAUGCAAGUCGAGCGAACAGACGAGGAUCUUGCUCCUCUGACGUUAGCGGCGGACGGGUGAGUAACACGUGGAUAACCUACCUAUAAGACUGGGAUAACUUCGGGAAACCGGAGCUAAUACCGGAUAAUAUCUUGAACCGCAUGGUUCAAUAGUGAAAGACGGUUUUGCUGUCACUUAUAGAUGGAUCCGCGCCGCAUUAGCUAGUUGGUAAGUUAACGGCUUACCAAGGCAACGAUGCGUAGCCGACCUGAGAGGGUGAUAGGCCACACUGGAACUGAGACACGGUCCAGACUCCUAAGGGAGGCAGCAGUAGGGAAUCUGCCGCAAUGGGCGAAAGCCUGACGGAGCAACGCCGCGUGAGUGAUGAAGGUCUUCGGAUCGUAAAACUCUGUUAUUAGGGAAGAACAAAUGUGUAAGUAACUAUGCACGUCUUGACGGUACCUAAUCAGAAAGCAACGGCUAACUACGUG
rnacentral:rRNA from 1 species